GGAUGUGAGGGCGAUCUGGCUGUGACAUCUAUCACCCUAUUAAUCACCACGGUUGAUUCUCCACUGAUUUGGCUGGUUACGCAGGUGUCCCCUUUCUCCCUCAAUGCUUAUGUGCUUCCCUCCCAAAGCUGCAUGGUCGGUAUUCCCCAAAUAAUGACAGACUGGUCUUUGAUCGAGUGUAUCCGAGUAGUGGCUCUACCCUGCUAGAACCUCCAAACAAGCUCUCAAGGAGUCUUGUUUUUAUGCCAUCCCUGAAAGGGAAGGGAAUCUGGAAAAUACCAGAGGAAGUCAGGCAUAGUUUCUCU
rnacentral:snRNA from 1 species